UUAUUUAAAUAAAUAAAUAUAAUUAUUAUACUAAAACCUUAGGAAAUUAGUAUAAAAGGCCAUCUGAUCAUAGCCUAGGUAGUCUCUAGUUUGGUCAUUAGAAUUUCACAAAAAAGGUGGAGACCUAGCAGCUAACACUUUUCUUCUUCUCUUCCCUUAGAAUAGUUUUAAGUUCUUUCAAUUGAUAUUCUGUGUAAUAUUAUGUGUGGAUAUCAUUAGAGGUCAUACACUUGAAAAGUUUGUGGUUUGCGACAACUCAAUCGAGUCGAACAGUUUCAUGUUUUAGCUUCAAAGAAAAUAACAAUUUGCCUCAAUCUCCAUGUGCUAUAGGAAGAGGUUCCAAUCAAAUUACUGGAAAAUCAGUUGGUGGCAAAUCAUUGCUCUAUCAUAAGCUAAAAGAAAUAGAUGCAGGAAAACAUGGACCUGGACAUCCUGUGGGUUUAGAAAGAGGAAUUGAGGACUUGGUUUCUGAUUUCAAGGGGAAAAUCAGCCCAGGCAUGAGGAAGCUGAGCCUACCAUGAAGAAGAAGAAAGCAUCAUGGAUGAACAGUGCAGGUAGAAUUUGCAUCUAAAUUCUCACAUCUUACCUUUUUGUACAGUAUAAGCAUUUUUUCUCACCUAAGCAAAGCAUUUACG